GUGACCUUAGCUCAGUUGGUAGAGCAUGGUGUUUGCAACGCCAGGGUUGUGGGUUCGAUUCCCACGGGGGGCC
rnacentral:tRNA from 1 species